rnacentral:lncRNA from 1 species
AGUUUUUGAGGUAGACCAAGCAAGAAAAACAGCAAACAUUAAGGUUAUCAACCAUUCAGGAAAAACAAGGUUACAAAUAACUCCAACACUCACUCCUAACAACAUACAUGGUUCAGAUGAAAGUGCUAUAUCAUAAUCAAUCAAUGACUUGCCACCAAAUUUAGUACUUGUUGUGAACAUAUAGCAUAUAACAUUUGCAAUGGAUCCUCCAGUGACCAUAAAAGCUGAAAUACUUGAAGCUACUUUCAAGUCUAAACCAGCUACAAUUGUUAGUAUAGGUAUGAAAAUUCCACCACCACCUAUUCCACCAGCACUUGAUAUCGAUGAAGCUAUGAAGCAAAGAAUUCCAGCUACCACCAAAGGGACUGAGAUUUGCAACUGUGAUUCAUGGAAUCCUUGUGUAACAUUUUUUAGCUGAGAAAUUUUGUCUAGAACAUGGUUAAUAUUGAGUAUAGUUGAAAAGGGCUUUGUUUGUUUUGCAUUUGAAGGAUUGAAAGCAAAAAAGGUGAUGAAAAAUAAAAAUAUAAUACUUUUAGUUCUCAUUUUGCUUUUGAGAGAAUUUUAGCAAUGAUAAAGAGUGAAGUAGUGAGGUUAGGUGUGUAUAUGCUGAUUGGCACACUAU